UACAGAGGGGGCAAGCGUUAUUCGGAAUUAUUGGGCGUAAAGGGCGCGUAGGCGGCUUUGCAAGUGACGGGUGAAAUCCCUCGGCUUAACCGAGGAACUGCCUGUCAGACUGCAUGGCUUGAGACCGGGGAGAGGUGAGUGGAAUUCCCAGUGUAGCGGUGAAAUGCGUAGAUAUUGGGAGGAACACCAGUGGCGAAGGCGGCUCACUGGACCGGUACUGACGCUGAUGCGCGAAAAGCGUGGGGAGCGAACAGG
rnacentral:rRNA from 1 species